UGGUGGAGCGAUUUGUCUGGUUAAUUCCGAUAACGAACGAGACUCUGGCCUAUUAAAUAGACGAGGUAUUUAAAUGUACCUCGCGCUUCUUAGAGGGACAAGCGGCGUCUAGUCGCAUGAAAAGAGCAAUAACA
rnacentral:rRNA from 1 species